rnacentral:rRNA from 1 species
GGUUAAGCGACUAAGCGUACACGGUGGAUGCCCUGGCAGUCAGAGGCGAUGAAGGACGUGCUAAUCUGCGAUAAGCGUCGGUAAGGUGAUAUGAACCGUUAUAACCGGCGAUUUCCGAAUGGGGAAACCCAGUGUGUUUCGACACACUAUCAUUAACUGAAUCCAUAGGUUAAUGAGGCGAACCGGGGGAACUGAAACAUCUAAGUACCCCGAGGAAAAGAAAUCAACCGAGAUUCCCCCAGUAGCGGCGAGCGAACGGGGAGCAGCCCAGAGCCUGAAUCAGUGUGUGUGUUAGUGGAAGCGUCUGGAAAGGCGCGCGAUACAGGGUGACAGCCCCGUACACAAAAAUGCACAUGCUGUGAGCUCGAUGAGUAGGGCGGGACACGUGGUAUCCUGUCUGAAUAUGGGGGGACCAUCCUCCAAGGCUAAAUACUCCUGACUGACCGAUAGUGAACCAGUACCGUGAGGGAAAGGCGAAAAGAACCCCGGCGAGGGGAGUGAAAAAGAACCUGAAACCGUGUACGUACAAGCAGUGGGAGCCUCUUUAUGGGGUGACUGCGUACCUUUUGUAUAAUGGGUCAGCGACUUAUAUUCUGUAGCAAGGUUAACCGAAUAGGGGAGCCGAAGGGAAACCGAGUCUUAACUGGGCGUUAAGUUGCAGGGUAUAGACCCGAAACCCGGUGAUCUAGCCAUGGGCAGGUUGAAGGUUGGGUAACACUAACUGGAGGACCGAACCGACUAAUGUUGAAAAAUUAGCGGAUGACUUGUGGCUGGGGGUGAAAGGCCAAUCAAACCGGGAGAUAGCUGGUUCUCCCCGAAAGCUAUUUAGGUAGCGCCUCGUGAAUUCAUCUCCGGGGGUAGAGCACUGUUUCGGCAAGGGGGUCAUCCCGACUUACCAACCCGAUGCAAACUGCGAAUACCGGAGAAUGUUAUCACGGGAGACACACGGCGGGUGCUAACGUCCGUCGUGAAGAGGGAAACAACCCAGACCGCCAGCUAAGGUCCCAAAGUCAUGGUUAAGUGGGAAACGAUGUGGGAAGGCCCAGACAGCCAGGAUGUUGGCUUAGAAGCAGCCAUCAUUUAAAGAAAGCGUAAUAGCUCACUGGUCGAGUCGGCCUGCGCGGAAGAUGUAACGGGGCUAAACCAUGCACCGAAGCUGCGGCAGCGACGCUUAUGCGUUGUUGGGUAGGGGAGCGUUCUGUAAGCCUGUGAAGGUGUGCUGUGAGGCAUGCUGGAGGUAUCAGAAGUGCGAAUGCUGACAUAAGUAACGAUAAAGCGGGUGAAAAGCCCGCUCGCCGGAAGACCAAGGGUUCCUGUCCAACGUUAAUCGGGGCAGGGUGAGUCGACCCCUAAGGCGAGGCCGAAAGGCGUAGUCGAUGGGAAACAGGUUAAUAUUCCUGUACUUGGUGUUACUGCGAAGGGGGGACGGAGAAGGCUAUGUUGGCCGGGCGACGGUUGUCCCGGUUUAAGCGUGUAGGCUGGUUUUCCAGGCAAAUCCGGAAAAUCAAGGCUGAGGCGUGAUGACGAGGCACUACGGUGCUGAAGCAACAAAUGCCCUGCUUCCAGGAAAAGCCUCUAAGCAUCAGGUAACAUCAAAUCGUACCCCAAACCGACACAGGUGGUCAGGUAGAGAAUACCAAGGCGCUUGAGAGAACUCGGGUGAAGGAACUAGGCAAAAUGGUGCCGUAACUUCGGGAGAAGGCACGCUGAUAUGUAGGUGAAGUCCCUCGCGGAUGGAGCUGAAAUCAGUCGAAGAUACCAGCUGGCUGCAACUGUUUAUUAAAAACACAGCACUGUGCAAACACGAAAGUGGACGUAUACGGUGUGACGCCUGCCCGGUGCCGGAAGGUUAAUUGAUGGGGUUAGCGGUAACGCGAAGCUCUUGAUCGAAGCCCCGGUAAACGGCGGCCGUAACUAUAACGGUCCUAAGGUAGCGAAAUUCCUUGUCGGGUAAGUUCCGACCUGCACGAAUGGCGUAAUGAUGGCCAGGCUGUCUCCACCCGAGACUCAGUGAAAUUGAACUCGCUGUGAAGAUGCAGUGUACCCGCGGCAAGACGGAAAGACCCCGUGAACCUUUACUAUAGCUUGACACUGAACAUUGAGCCUUGAUGUGUAGGAUAGGUGGGAGGCUUUGAAGUGUGGACGCCAGUCUGCAUGGAGCCGACCUUGAAAUACCACCCUUUAAUGUUUGAUGUUCUAACGUUGACCCGUAAUCCGGGUUGCGGACAGUGUCUGGUGGGUAGUUUGACUGGGGCGGUCUCCUCCUAAAGAGUAACGGAGGAGCACGAAGGUUGGCUAAUCCUGGUCGGACAUCAGGAGGUUAGUGCAAUGGCAUAAGCCAGCUUGACUGCGAGCGUGACGGCGCGAGCAGGUGCGAAAGCAGGUCAUAGUGAUCCGGUGGUUCUGAAUGGAAGGGCCAUCGCUCAACGGAUAAAAGGUACUCCGGGGAUAACAGGCUGAUACCGCCCAAGAGUUCAUAUCGACGGCGGUGUUUGGCACCUCGAUGUCGGCUCAUCACAUCCUGGGGCUGAAGUAGGUCCCAAGGGUAUGGCUGUUCGCCAUUUAAAGUGGUACGCGAGCUGGGUUUAGAACGUCGUGAGACAGUUCGGUCCCUAUCUGCCGUGGGCGCUGGAGAACUGAGGGGGGCUGCUCCUAGUACGAGAGGACCGGAGUGGACGCAUCACUGGUGUUCGGGUUGUCAUGCCAAUGGCACUGCCCGGUAGCUAAAUGCGGAAGAGAUAAGUGCUGAAAGCAUCUAAGCACGAAACUUGCCCCGAGAUGAGUUCUCCCUGACUCCUUGAGAGUCCUGAAGGAACGUUGAAGACGACGACGUUGAUAGGCCGGGUGUGUAAGCGCAGCGAUGCGUUGAGCUAACCGGUACUAAUGAACCGUGAGGCUUAACCUU